rnacentral:rRNA from 1 species
UACGUAGGGGGCAAGCGUUGUCCGGAAUCAUUGGGCGUAAAGAGCGUGUAGGCGGCUUGGUAAGUCCGCUGUGAAAGUCCAGGGCUCAACCCUGGAAUGCCGGUGGAAACUGUCAAGCUUGAGUCCGGAAGAGGCGAGUGGAAUUCCUGGUAUAGCGGUGAAAUGCGCAGAUAUCAGGAGGAACACCAAUGGCGAAGGCAGCUCGCUGGGACGGUACUGACGCUGAGACGCGAAAGCGUGGGGAGCAAACAGG